rnacentral:lncRNA from 1 species
AGCAGUGGGAGACAGGUAAGACCCACUGGGGGGGGACACAUUGCCAUGCCUUACUGCAGCGACGCUUUCUCGGUAAACGGCAAAAUAAUAAUAAUUUGCUAUGUGUUAACCGUAUAGUUUUCCCACAUGAUUUUUGGGUGCGAUCUGAGAGAGUUGUUAGUUAAACGACGCUGCAGCGGCACUCACGGCUUCUUGUCUGUCUCCAGGUUCGACUUCCAGCAAGCGGAAGCGGGUGAGCAGAGGCAGGACGAGGGCCAGCACGCUCAGCCGGCGGCGGGGUGCCAAGCUGGCCCCCGCCCCCCAGCCGGAGGCCUCCACUCCCACCAAAGUGACCUGUGUUUAGUCCAGGAGCUCAGCUCCCUCUCCUUGCUAAAACGGAUUCCGCUCAGGGGCUUGGCGUUUGAGUGGGAAGGCCAUGGGUUCUAACGAAGAAGGUUCAAAAAUAAUUCAAUGAGUGUCAAAACUGCAACUGCACGGUGCAGCUUAAGACAUCUGGCGGGUAGGUGCACGGACCGAACCGUAAGCUCCGUUCCACGC